rnacentral:ncRNA from 2 species
UAAAAUUUUGAAAUAGAAUUUCGUAUAACUCCAAUAAUAUGGAUUGGAGGUCUCUACCAGGAACCAUUAAUUCCUGAUUACGAAGAAGAUACAAUUAUUU